GCAUUGGUGGUAUAGUGGUGAGCAUAGCUGCCUUCCAAGCAGUUAACCCGGGUUCGAUUCCCGGUCCAACGCA